GGUCCAGACUCCUACGGGAGGCAGCAGUGGGGAAUAUUGCACAAUGGGGGAAACCCUGAUGCAGCAAAGCCGCGUGAGUGAAGAAGUCAUUCGUGAUGGAAAGCUCUAUCAGCAGGGAAGAAAAUGACGGUACCUGAGUAAGAAGCACCGGCUAACUCCGUGCCAGCAGCCGCGGCAAUACGGAGGGUGCGAGCGUUAAUCGGAAUUACUGGGCGUAAAGCGCUCGUAGGCGGUAUGUCAAGUCAAGGGUGAAAUCCCCGCGCUCAACGUGGGAACUGCCUUUGAAACUGGCAAACUGGAGUGUGUGAGAGGAUAGUGGAAUUCCAGGUGUAGGAGUGAAAUCCGUAGAUAUCUGGAGGAACAUCAGUGGCGAAGGCGACUAUCUGGCACAUAACUGACGCUGAGGAGCGAAAGCGUGGGUAGCAAACAGGAUUAGAUACCCUCGUA
rnacentral:rRNA from 1 species